rnacentral:rRNA from 1 species
UACGAAGGGGGCUAGCGUUGCUCGGAAUCACUGGGCGUAAAGGGUGCGUAGGCGGGCCUUUAAGUCAGGGGUGAAAUCCUGGAGCUCAACUCCAGAACUGCCUUUGAUACUGAGGAUCUUGAGUCCGGGAGAGGUGAGUGGAACUGCGAGUGUAGAGGUGAAGUUCGUAGAUAUUCGCAAGAACACCAGUGGCGAAGGCGGCUCACUGGCCCGGUACUGACGCUGAGGCACGAAAGCGUGGGGAGCAAACAGG